GACGGAGGAAGCAAGCUCUAUCCGGAAUGAUUGGGCGUAAAGCGUUCGCAGGUGGCUGUUCAAGCCUGCUGCCAAAGGCCGGGGCUUAACCCUAGAAAGGCAGUGGAAACUGAACGGCUGGAGUGCAGUAGGGGUAGAGGGAAUUCCCAGUGUAGCGGUGAAAGGCGUAGAGAUUGGGAAGAACACCGGGGGCGAAAGCGCUCUGCCGGACUGCAACUGACACUGAGGGACGAAAGCUAGGGGAGCGAAAGGG
rnacentral:rRNA from 1 species